rnacentral:rRNA from 1 species
AGGGAAUCUUCCGCAAUGGACGAAAGUCUGACGGAGCAACGCCGCGUGAGUGAAGAAGGCCUUCGGGUCGUAAAACUCUGUUGCCGGGGAAGAACAAGUGCCGUUCGAACAGGGCGGCGCCUUGACGGUACCCGGCCAGAAAGCCACGGCUAACUACGUGCCAGCAGCCGCGGUAAUACGUAGGUGGCAAGCGUUGUCCGGAAUUAUUGGGCGUAAAGCGCGCGCAGGCGGUUUCUUAAGUCUGAUGUGAAAUCUUGCGGCUCAACCGCAAGCGGUCAUUGGAAACUGGGGAACUUGAGUGCAGAAGAGGAGAGUGGAAUUCCACGUGUAGCGGUGAAAUGCGUAGAGAUGUGGAGGAACACCAGUGGCGAAGGCGACUCUCUGGGCUGUAACUGACGCUGAGGCGCGAAAGCGUGGGGAGCAAAC